rnacentral:lncRNA from 1 species
UUCGCCGCUUCCCCCGACCGGUGUCGGCUGUGUUCCACGUGUGCACGGGAUCGCGCGUUCGUCUCUCGUCUCUGUACCGACGACAAUGACCGCGAGUCGUGCAGCUUUCGUUUCGACAGCGUAGUCCGUGAACGGGUGUCCCGUAGCGACUUUGUCGUGACCGCCUUUGCUUGAUUGACGGACGUCGAGGGCGAAGCAGAGCGAAGAUGCUGCAAUGCGCUGCUUUGCCACAACAAGAGCAACACAGUAGGAUGACUAAAGGACGUAACACUUCUGGACGGGAAUUAUAUGUUGAAGAAUUGUUUUGAAAUGUACAAUAACAAAGAUAUUGGCAUUCUCCUUGCACCAUCAUCUGCGAGCUGCAAAGGGAGUGAGCAUGCAUACGUUGGUCAUUGAAGCAUAAAUCAAAGAAAAGUAAUACAUAAUAGAAAGAGAAGAGAGCUGGGCUGCUGGGAGAGAAGCAUGAAGUCUA